ACACAUGCAAGUCGAGCGGUAGCACAGAGAGCUUGCUCUCGGGUGACGAGCGGCGGACGGGUGAGUAAUGUCUGGGAAACUGCCUGAUGGAGGGGGAUAACUACUGGAAACGGUAGCUAAUACCGCAUAACGUCGCAAGACCAAAGUGGGGGACCUUCGGGCCUCAUGCCAUCAGAUGUGCCCAGAUGGGAUUAGCUGGUAGGUGGGGUAACGGCUCACCUAGGCGACGAUCCCUAGCUGGUCUGAGAGGAUGACCAGCCACACUGGAACUGAGACACGGUCCAGACUCCUACGGGGAGGCAGCA
rnacentral:rRNA from 1 species